UGGCUGAAUGUGGGGAUAAUUUAUCUCUGUAUUGUAGCUAACGCGUUAAGCACUCCGCCUGGGGACUACGGUCGCAAGACUAAAACUCAAAGGAAUUGACGGGGACCCGCACAAGCGGUGGAGCAUGUGGUUUAAUUCGAUGCAACGCGAAAAACCUUACCACUUUUUGACAUGAAGGUCGUAUCUUUUUUAACCGGAAGAGUCAGUUUGGCUGGACCUUACACAGGUGCUGCAUGGCUGUCGUCAGCUCGUGUCGUGAGAUGUUGGGUUAAGUCCCGCAACGAGCGUAACCCUUGUCCUUAGUUGCCAACAGGUAAUGCUGGGAACUCUAAGGAAACUGCCAGUGAUAAACUGGAGGAAGGUGAGGAUGAUGUCAAGUCAGCACGGCCCUUAUAAGGUGGGCUACACACGUGCUACAAUGGUAACUACAAUAGGUUGCAAGAUCGCAAGAUUGAGCUAAUCCAUAAAAGUUAUCUCAGUUCGGAUUGUUCUCUGUAACUCGAGAGCAUGAAGCCGGAAUCGCUAGUAAUCGUGGAUCAGCAUGCCACGGUGAAUACGUUCUCGGGUCUUGUACACACUGCCCGUCAUGCCC
rnacentral:rRNA from 1 species